GUAUGGAAUUAUCCCAGCCUAAGACAGCUUGCAAAGCUCACCGGGCACUCAUCCAGAGUUCUCCAUCUGGCAGUAUCUCCUAAUGGGGAAACAAUUGUAACUGCCGAUGGGGAUGGGACUAUUUGCUUCUGGGAUGUGUUCAGCAGAGCUCAUUCGCAGAAGGAGAAUAGAUCCAGCCUGAAUCUCUUCUCGGGCAUCCGAUGAGGGGCUUGUAGAUGGAAAGUUAUUGUGAAGCCAAAUCCUUCAGCUUUUUCUUGUUAUCACACAAUAAAAGAUACUUAUAUUUAUUUUUGUUUAUAUUCUGUUCAUUGUACAUUGAUUUUAUUAAAUUAUUUGUUGUAUUUGAUAAUUUAAUAUGUAUCAUAGACAUUUUGAAGCAUCCACCUUGGAGUGUUAAUAAAUUAUAUUCUCAA